rnacentral:rRNA from 1 species
CAUUAACUGAAUCCAUAGGUUAAUGAGGCGAACCGGGGGAACUGAAACAUCUAAGUACCCCGAGGAAAAGAAAUCAACCGAGAUUCCCCCAGUAGCGGCGAGCGAACGGGGAGGAGCCCAGAGCCUGAAUCAGUGUGUGUGUUAGUGGAAGCGUCUGGAAAGGCGCGCGAUACAGGGUGACAGCCCCGUACACAAAAAUGCACAUACUGUGAGCUCGAUGAGUAGGGCGGGACACGUGGUAUCCUGUCUGAAUAUGGGGGGACCAUCCUCCAAGGCUAAAUACUCCUGACUGACCGAUAGUGAACCAGUACCGUGAGGGAAAGGCGAAAAGAACCCCGGCGAGGGGAGUGAAAAAGAACCUGAAACCGUGU